rnacentral:misc_RNA from 1 species
GAUGAAGAACGCAGCGAAAUGCGAUACGUAGUGUGAAUUGCAGAAUUCAGUGAAUCAUCGAAUCUUUGAACGCACAUUGCACCUCUCGGUAUUCCGGGAGGUAUGCCUGUUCGAGCGUCAUUUGUACCCUCAAGCUCUGCUUGGUGUUGGGUGUUUGUUCCGCCUCUGUGUGUGAACUCGCCUCAAAACAAUUGGCAGCCGGCGUACUUGUUUCGGAGCGCAGCACAUUUUGCGAUCCAGAUCAACGUACAGCGGCAUCCAAGAAGCCUUAUUUAACGCGCUUGACCUCGGAUCAGGUAGGGAUACCCGCUGAACUUAAGCAUAUCAAUAAGCGGAGGA